rnacentral:lncRNA from 1 species
GGGAUUUUGCAUCACAGAGUAAAUAAUAGGAGUUUAUCUUAAUUUCCUUUCUUAGGACCUCUGCCAGGUGAAGUGGAUAUUGCUAUAUUGAUUAAUGUUUCCUUCGUGUCUCAGAGAAUUUCUCCGUAACUGAAAGGGCUAAAACUUAAUGUCUCUACAGGAGGUUACUGCCCACGCUGAGGGAGCAGGAGACCAGAGCAUAUGCUUGUUCCUCUGCCAUUCUGUUCUUGGUCAAGGUUUUAGCUUUACCUGCCAGUAAACAUGGUGGGUUGUGAACUGUGGCAGCUGAGACAAAGACACGUGCCCCUUCUGCYGCCCCUUCCAAGGAAACGAAAAUCUCUAGUGGCUGAAGAGCUAAAAGGAAGUAACGUCUUAACCUAUGGCCAGCAAGAAUGGAGAGAGGGCAUCGGUCGGUGUCCUAAAGAGCAGCUUUUGAACAAGAGACCAGCAUCAGGAGCAGGAGUGCCAGCAGUUGGGAGGAGCAGGGUGCUGAGUGAGGUGGCUCUGGCCACACGACCUUGUCCUCCAAAGGCAGAGUCGUGAUGACCCCCACAUUGCGUGAAGGUGGCCACAUCAGUGGGGGAAAAAGAAAUGUUUUUAAAGAAAGCUUCAUCUUCUCAAAAUCUUUUUGCUGUCUACAUAAACGGA